UGCUAGUUGCACGGGUUUAGACCCGUGGCGAAUAGCUCAGUAACACGUGGCCAAACUACCCUGUAGACCGGAAUAACCUCGGGAAACUGAGGCUAAUCCCGGAUAGUGCUUCGAUGCUGGAGUGCACGAAGUACAAAAUGCGUCAGCGCUACAGGAUGUGGCUGCGGUCGAUUAGGUUGGCGGUGGGGUAACGGCCCACCGUGCCUAUAAUCGGUACGGGUCAUGAGAGUGAGAGCCCGGAGACGGUUUCUGAGACAAGAAGCCGGGCCCUACGGGGCGCAGCAGGCGCGAAACCUUUACACUGCACGACAGUGCGAUAGGGGGACUCCGAGUGCGAGGGCAUAUAGUCCUCGCUUUUCUGCACCGUAAGGAGGUGCAAGAAUAAGGGCUGGGCAAGACCGGUGCCAGCCGCCGCGGUAAUACCGGCAGCCCGAGUGAUGGCCGCUAUUAUUGGGCCUAAAGCGUCCGUAGCCGGCCAGACAAGUCCGUUGGGAAAUCCACGCGCUCAACGCGUGGACGUCCGGCGGAAACUGUCUGGCUUGGGGCCGGAAGACCUGAGGGGUACGUCCAGGGUAGGAGUGAAAUCCCGUAAUCCUGGACGGACCGCCGGUGGCGAAAGCGCCUCAGGAGGACGGACCCGACGGUGAGGGACGAAAGCUAGGAUCUCGAACCGGAUUAGAUACCCGGGUAGUCCUAGCCGUAAACGAUGCUCGCUGGGUGG
rnacentral:rRNA from 1 species